rnacentral:lncRNA from 1 species
CACGCCAGCGCAUCAGGGGUAGCUCUUGCCAGCGGUCGACGGCCGGAGAUCGAGCCAGAGGGGACGGCGCACGGCUGUAGCGGAGCGCCGGCGCAGCAGCAAAACGGCAGGGGCGCAGGCCGAGGCAAGCGGCGGUUGAAGAUGCAGGCGGCGGGUGUAUGGCAAUGCAGGGCGUUGGCACGAUGGCGCAAGGGAGAAGCGGCAGCAGGAGGUCUGAGGAGGCCCGGGCGCUUUAUAGGGGUGGAGGAAGGGAAACGGAGGCGGCUCAGGAGGUGAAUCGCGGAGUAACGGCCGGCGGCCAGAGUGGUGGCACCAUUCAUGGCGGCUGGUUGGUGGAGCGGCAAUUUCCGGCCGAAGGGAGGA